rnacentral:lncRNA from 1 species
GCUUGAGUAUAAAUUUCUAUAAAAAUUUUGUUGUUCCGUUAGAAUUUUUGAUUACUCUGAUAUAUGUUGACCUUUAUCAUCUAUUAGUUCCCAUAUUGUUUUCUUUAUACAAUUUUUCUUUUCUAAUUUACAAAAAUAAUUUGAACAUUUUUCACCAUUCGCAUGCCAGUUAGAACGGGAUCUAAGCAGCACACCUUCAACCUUCUUUUGUC